AACGUAGGUGGCAAGCGUUAUCCGGAUUUACUGGGCGUAAAGCGUGUGCAGGCGGGGGUACAAGUGGUGUAUGAAAUUUCCCAGCUUAACUGGGAAGGGUUAUGCCAGACUGUACUUCUGGAGUGCGAGAGAGGGGCGUGGAAUUCCGGGUGUAGUGGUGAAAUGCUUAGAGAUCCGGAGGAACCCCAGAGGCGAAGGCGGCGCCCUGGCUCGCAACUGACGCUCAGACACGACAGCAUGGGGAGCGAACGGG
rnacentral:rRNA from 1 species